AGAGAGCGGCGUACGGGUGCGUAACACGUGUGCAACGUGCCUUUAUCUGGGAUAGCCUUUCGAAAGGAAGAUUAAUACCCCAUAAUAUAUUUUACGGCAUCGUAAGAUUGAAAACUCCGGUGGAUAGAGAUGGGCACGCGCAAGAUUAGAUAGUUGGUGAGGUAGGCUCACCAAGUCAAUGAUCUUUAGGGGGCCUGAGAGGGUGAUCCCCCACACUGGUACAGACACGGACCAGACUCCUACGGGAGGCAGCAGUGAGGAAUAUUGGACAAUGGGUGAGCCUGAUCCAGCCAUCCCGCGUGAAGGACUAAGGCCCUAUGGGUUGUAAACUUCUUUUACUGGGAUAAACCUACUUACGUGUAAGUAGCUGAAGGUACAGUAUGAAUAAGCACCGGCACUCCGUGCCAGCAGCCGCGGUAAUACGGAGGGUGCAAGCGUUAUCCGGAUUUAUUGGUUAAAGGGUCCGUAGGCGGAUCUGUAAGUCAGUGGUGAAAUCUCAUAGCUUAACUAUGACUGCCAUUGAUACUGCAGGUCUUGAGUGAGAUUGAGGUAGCUGGAAUAAGUAGUGUAGGUGAAAUGCAUAGAUAUUACUUAGAACACCAAUUGCGAAGGCAGGUUACCAAGUCUUCUGACGCUGAUGGACGAAAGCGUGGGGAGCGAACAGGAUUAGAUACCCUGGUAGUCCACCGUAAACGAUGCUAACUCGUUUUUGGGUCUUCGGGUUCAGAGACUAAGCGAAAGUGA
rnacentral:rRNA from 1 species